rnacentral:rRNA from 1 species
CAGUAGCCGCGGUAAUACGAAGGGGGCUAGCGUUGUUCGGAUUUACUGGGCGUAAAGGGUGCGUAGGCGGAUUGUUAAGUCAGGGGUGAAAUCCCGAGGCUCAACCUCGGAACUGCCUUUGAUACUGGCGAUCUUGAGUCCGGGAGAGGUGAGUGAAACUGCGAGUGUAGAGGUGAAAUUCGUAGAUAUUCGCAAGAACACCGGUGGCGAAGGCGGCUCACUGGCCCGGUACUGACGCUGAGGCACGAAAGCGUGGGGAGCAAACAGGAUUAGAUACCCCCGUAGUCCCUGUCUCUUAUAC